GCAGUAGCCGCGGUAAUACGUAGGUCCCGAGCGUUGUCCGGAUUUAUUGGGCGUAAAGCGAGCGCAGGCGGUUAGAUAAGUCUGAAGUUAAAGGCUGUGGCUUAACCAUAGUACGCUUUGGAAACUGUUUAACUUGAGUGCAAGAGGGGAGAGUGGAAUUCCAUGUGUAGCGGUGAAAUGCGUAGAUAUAUGGAGGAACACCGGUGGCGAAAGCGGCUCUCUGGCUUGUAACUGACGCUGAGGCUCGAAAGCGUGGGGAGCAAACAGGAUUAGAUACCCCAGUAGUCCCUGUCUCUUAUACA
rnacentral:rRNA from 1 species